GGGAUUGAAAGGUGGAGGCCUGGCAUUUCUGUGUGCAUUUAUUCAUUCAACAAACAUUCACGAGAGCUUCCUGUGGUCAAAAUGGCCCCGGAGUCUGGAACUACUAGAGCAGAUGUGACAGACAGGGCCUCAACAGUCGGGGCAUUUUCCUUCCAGAGGGGAGGUAGAGCACAGGACAGAAACAAGACAACUCGAGACAGUGGUGAGCAUGGAAUGGAGGGGAGGAAAAGGUUGCUGUGUAAUCGCAUAUGCAAAUGAUAUGGUUGUGUCAGCUCCGUGGUGCCAGGCAUUGGCGGUGACUGAGUGGUUUGCAAGACAGAGUCUUACUCUCAAGUCCUCCUGGUCUGACACAGAAGCUGCAGCAAGGCAACCACAAGAUUUCUCUGAGCCAGCUAACUUCCACUUCCACUAUCGGCUAGAGGACUGGACAGCCCUGUUUCCAGGAUGGGAGAAAAUAAUGCUGGAAUUAACAGUCACUGCUCAUAUAACAAGUCACCCUGGAAAUGGAAAACCAGAAAGGGCGCAGAAAUGAGUCUCCAUCAGGAGAGUGUUUCUGGCUUCCACACUAUCAGGGGACGAAGAUCUGAUCCAACUAUCAGAAGGAAACUCUACCAUCUCUGCAAGGUUCCCUGGCACCAGAAAGAGCUGGAGCUGCCUUCAGAUACAGAAACCAAAGGCUCCACAAUGAACUAGAAAAUAGUGGACCGGUGUCAAGAGCCUUUUAAAAACACUAGGAUGUAGCCGGGUGUGGUGGCACACGCCUGUAAUCCCAGCACUCAGGAGGCUGAGGCAGGAGGAUCUAUGUGAGUUUGAGACGAGCCUGGGCUACAUAGUGAGUUUUCCAGGGCAGUCUGAACUACAUAGUGACACCCUGUCUCAAAAAGCAAAAUAAAACAAAACAGCCUCCCCCAAACCAGGAUAUGCUUAUGGGGGAGCUUUUCACUAAAGAAGGAGAUACCACAUGGGCUGAACUUUGCACCUGCAGAGUUGGAGACAGACUGCAGACACUGGGAAGUCACAUCGGCAGGGGAAGAGGCACUGAAGCUUGAAGUAGGGUGGAAAGUGACAGGAACAAGGAAGGACAGAGCCUAGAACCAUAGGAGGACAAGGGAGUGCGGUUCAGGCAAAGGGCCAGGGUGAAGGGUUCCCAUCUACACCGGGGAAGUGCUCAGGUCCUGGGCUUGCUUUCCCAAGUUGCGUUUGUGGAGGUGGCACGGCCACAUCACAGCAAUGGUGCCCGACUUGUUAACCCUAAGACUUGCUUGUGCCAGGAACUGCACCCUGGCUGGCUCUGGGAGGCCAUGAUGAACAGCCUGCGACUGUAGGCUCCUCUUCUCUGUAGUGAGGCCUCCACGAGUGCUUCGUCCUCUGAGGGCACUGUGUGGGCUGGAUGUGAGUAGACAUUUGUGUCCCAGGCCUGUAAGGAAUGCAUCCUCGAAGGCCUCAUUGCAGGUAGAUUCAGGGAGUUUGCAUCAUUUUACUCCUGGAAUCCACUGCCAAGGAAGGAAAUGCAUACGCCAACCUGCUGGACUGCUUCAGCCGCACUAAUAGAAACUCCACGCGAGUUGGCUUCAGUUGACUUUUAAAAGUGAAUUUUAUCGCUGCAUAUCCUUGAAAAAGUACCAGAGGAGCUCUGCCUUCAAAGCCACCCAGAAGAAAGAUACUCGAAUAUUGUUAAAAGACACACCAGGGUACAAAUGUCCUUUCUCAUUCAUCUCUGAUGUUCUCUGACUUGGUACCCCCUCUGUGAAAGUAUGCUCUCUUCAGUUCCAGGUUUACAUUUUCACAAGCCCAGGUCCGGAA
ensembl:lincRNA